UAGGAAUUGGCACUUCUGAAGGUCCCAUUUCUCUGGAUGACUUCCGUGGCAUGCAGCGGUCAAAUACGGAACUGAGGAAGCAACUUGAAAGUCAUGUUGCGACUAUUGAUUCCUUGCGAAGUGAAAAUCGUGCUGUUGUGGACCAUCAUGAGAAGGAAAUGAAAGAAUUGAAGGAGUCAGUUUCUCAAUCAUACCUUGAACAACUCAAAGAAGUACAGCAGUUAUUG
rnacentral:misc_RNA from 1 species